rnacentral:rRNA from 1 species
UACAGAGGUGGCAAGCGUUGUUCGGAAUUACUGGGCGUAAAGAGCGUGUAGGCGGCCAUACAGGUCCGUUGUGAAAACUGGAGGCUUAACCUCCAGACGUCGAUGGAAACCGUAUGGCUAGAGUCCGGAAGAGGAGAGUGGAAUUCCUGGUGUAGCGGUGAAAUGCGCAGAUAUCAGGAAGAACACCCGUGGCGAAGGCGGCUCUCUGGGACGGUACUGACGCUGAGACGCGAAAGCGUGGGGAGCGAACAGG